rnacentral:rRNA from 1 species
AACGAACGCUGGCGGCAUGCCUAACACAUGCGAGUCGAACGAGACCUUCGGGUCUAGUGGCGCACGGGUGCGUAACGCGUGGGAACCUGCCCUUAGGUUCGGAAUAACUCUCCGAAAGGGGUGCUAAUACCGGAUAAUGUCUUCGGACCAAAGAUUUAUCGCCUUUGGAUGGGCCCGCGUUGGAUUAGCUAGUUGGUAGGGUAAAAGCCUACCAAGGCGACGAUCCAUAGCUGGUCUGAGAGGAUGAUCAGCCACACUGGGACUGAGACACGGCCCAGACUCCUACGGGAGGCAGCAGUGGGGAAUAUUGGACAAUGGGCGAAAGCCUGAUCCAGCAAUGCCGCGUGAGUGAUGAAGGCCUUAGGGUUGUAAAGCUCUUUUACCCGGGAUGAUAAUGACAGUACCGGGAGAAUAAGCUCCGGCUAACUCCGUG